rnacentral:rRNA from 1 species
UGAGCAAUCUGCCCUUCUCAUCGGAAUAAGCGUUGGAAACGACGUCUAAUGCCGAAUACGACCUCCUUUCGCAUGAUCGGAGGUGGAAAGCUCCGGCGGAGAAGGAUGAGCUCGCGGCCUAUCAGCUAGUUGGUGUGGGUAAUGGCCCACCAAGGCGACGACGGGUAGCCGGCCUGAGGAGGGCGACCGACCACACUGGGACUGAGAUACGGCCCAGACCUCCGUACGGGAGCAG